CGGCGCUCCACCAGGCACCAGCGCUUCCUCAGCUCCUCAUCGCCGCCGGCGCGCGCCGCUGAGCCCGCCCCGGCUCCCUCGGUCCCUCCCUGAGACCGCGACGCAUCCGCGCCACCGCGCGGCCGUGCCAGCCGUCGAACGGCGUCCGCGCCUCUGCGGUCCUCUAGGCGCCCGCCACUCCGCUCAUCCGUUCUCCACUCUCCAGGCUCCGCUCGAGGCCGCGCCGCCCGACCCGGACGCCGCCCCGGCCGGCCGACGCCCGACGCCGUGUCGUUUCCCGCGUGGGACGGGCGGUGCCGGCACUCCGCGGCGGCGGACGGCCACGGGCCACAGCGGCACAGGAGCCGUCCCCUAUCGACGAAUCCCCUCACGGCGACUGGCAAAUGUUUCGUGCUGGAAAAAUUUGUUCAGGAUCUUAUGCACGCUAUGCUGUAUCUUCAUUACUGCUGGGUCCUCGAUGUUUGUUUGCUUGCGAAAGCCCACACUGCUUGGGCUGCAAGUGUCAUGGGACUAACCGAACAGGUGAUAAUAAUGCCAAAUUCUUGAGACCGCAGCUAAAUAUAGGUAGCCAUGGCGCUUGCUUUUCCACUAUUACCGAAACAGUUCUAGUCCAAGCUCGUGAUCCAUCUCAGCUAGCCCUGGAGAUAGAGAAUGCAAUCGAUGAGCAGAGAUUUGAUGAUGCAUGGAGGGCUUAUGAGAAGCAUAUUCACAUGGAUGGACUUCCAAGAAAGUCCGUUUUGAGCAAGCUCAUCACUGGCUUGGCAGAGAGCUGUGAUGCUCAUUGGCUUAACCAGUCCUACAAUGUGGUCAGCCAUGCAUUUGAAGAGAAGUAUGAAUUGUUGGAUAAGGAGCCCCUGAUUUACCUAUCUCUUACUCUUGCACGCAAUGCUCUGCCUAAUCUUGCUAUAAAUGUUGUGAGGAAGUUGGUAAAGAUGGAGGCAUACCCACCUGUUGCAGCAUGGUCGGCAAUUGUAUCUCAUAUGUGCCAAACCAACACUGGCGCAUUUCUAGCUGCAGACCUUGUAAUGGAGCUUGGUUACCUUUUCCAGAAUAAUAGAGUUGAUCCACGGAAGAAGAGCAACCGUCCUUUGCUAUCAAUGAAACCUAAUUCAUUUACAUUCAACAUUGUUCUGACUGCAUCCCUCUUGUUUGGUACUACAAGAAAAGCGGAGCAGCUUCUCGAACUAAUGCCACGGAUAGGGGUGAAGCCUGAAGUCAACUUAUUGAUUGUUAUGGCCCGCAUAUAUGAAAGGAAUGGGCGCAGAGAUGAGAUUCAGAAAUUAAAGAGGCAUGUUGAUGAGGCCUAUGGUCUUAGCGAAUCAGAGUUCAGGCAGUUUUAUGAUUGUCUUCUCUCCUGUCAUUUGAAAUUUGGGGAUUUGGAUUCUGCAGUUGAUAUGGUGCUGGUUAUGCUAAGAAAGGGUAAGAAUGCAAAGCGGUCAUUGGAAGCAGCUAAAGCAGUUCUUGAAGCUGUUGAAAAUAAGAAACUUUAUUUGCCUUAUGAAAAAACUGAGGCUGACAACUCAUGCUCUUCGGAGAGACCUAUAUCUAAUAGCCAAAUGCUAAGUUAUGUUUCAUUCUUCAAAGACAAUAGCUUUGCAAGACUUGAAUUGGAGGCAAGAGAAUUACUCAAGCUGUUAUCGGAUGAGCUGCAGGAACACGCUGGACUGGUGAAAUCUGAACAUGGUAUCCUCCAUCCAACUGAAACAAUGUACGCCAAGCUCGUUAAAGCUUUUCUGGAAGCAGAUAAGAUCAGUGCAUUGGCAUCUUUUCUUGUGAAAGCAAACAAAGAAGAUUCUCAUGUGUCUGUUGAAAGAUCUUUUGUUGUUCAAGUGAUAAAUGCGUGCAUUUCUCUUGGGUUAUUAGAGCAAGCACAUGACCUUCUGGAUGAAAUGAGAUUCUCUGGAAUUAGAGUUGGUUCAUCCAUCUAUUCAUCACUCCUAAAAGCCUAUUGCAAAGAGGGCCAACAUGAAGAUGACAUAACUGCGCUUUUGAAGGAUGCUCAACAAGCAGGCAUUCAGCUUGACACAAGCUGCUAUGAGGAUUUGAUACAAUCUAGGGUGAGUCAUCGUAACACCCCAGGUGCUCUCCAUCUUUUUAAAGAAUUGAAGAAUUCAAAUGUUUUGAAAUCUGGUCACAAGGAAUUUCAGACUUUAGUGCAAGGUUCUGAUGACAAUGAAGCUGUUUUGACAGCCAGGCUAGUGGAGGAAGUCAGAAGUGGUCAUAUGGUUGAUCAUGCUGUUCAUGACUGGAAUAAUGUCAUCCAUUUCUUCUGCAAGAAGAGAUUGAUGCAUGAUGCUCACAGUGCACUGAACAAGAUGCGAGCUUCUGGCCAUGUGCCAAAUGCACAAACUUUUCAUUCUUUAAUAACUGCUUAUGCUGCCAUUGGUGGCAAAUAUGUGGAGGUGACAGACUUGUGGGGUGAAAUGAAAGUUCUGGCUGGUUCAAGCUCUAUGAAAUUUGAUCAGGAGCUCUUGGAUUCUCUGUUGUAUUGCUUUGUAAGAGGUGGUUUCUUCCUUCGAGCCAUGGAAGUUAUAGAGAUGAUGGAAAAAAGUGAGAUGUUUAUUGACAAAUACAAGUACAAGUCCUUGUGGCUUAAAUACCACAGAACAUUGUACAAAGGUAAGGCUCCCAAGGUGCAAACAGAAGCACAACUAAAAAGGAGAGAAGCAGCGAUACUUUUCAAGAAAUGGAUAGGGUUGACAUGACAGCAUAAGAUUCAACUCAUGCUCUAUGAUAUCUGAUCAUGAACUCUUUGAUUAUCUGCUGUAUGGAUGGAUCUUUACAAAUUCCUGAAAAUCGUGAUCGUGGAGUUUGUUAGAAGGUUCUGGAGGUUCUAUAUCUUUAAAUGGCAAUUGGUUUUGUGGCUGAACUUAACAGUUGUGUUUGUUAACUAGAUUUGUUAUUCCAAAUGUUGCCUAGUAUACUACAGUAGUGUCAUAGUGUGAAUUGCUCGCGUCCCCUGCGGCAUUUUUUACAUCUAAGUGGUGAAGUAUGCUAGUUAGCACACUGAACCUUCAUAACAGGUAGUGUGUAUUAACAACGGACUCAGUACAAGUACAUUUAUGGUAUUUCUCUACCAACUCCAAUUCAGUGAUGUAUGCUACAACAUUGUUGUGCCAAAUUGAUUUAUUGUUUAAUUCGUAUCACUAGCGCUUGCAAGGUUCCAGUAGAAAAUUUUCAUAUAGUAACAAUAUUAGUAGAAUAUACUAAAAUUCUAUCAAACAGAAGUACCAAAGUUGUAAUGGGCUACUGGCUGAAAGAAUAACUUCCUUCUCUAUGUGGUGCAAGGGUGCUUGUUGAUAAAGUUGGUACAAGGGGUUUGUUUGAUGACAAAGGUUGGCUAGAAACACUCUGCAGUGCAGCCGUCGGGAUAGUGCCAAGGGUUGACCUGAAUUCACAACAGUAAAAAGCUGCGAAGGGUUGUCAGUGUGGAUUCAGGGCAGACGUGCACGUCAGAAAAAAGUUCUUCGAUGUUUGUGUGUGUAGAGUAUAGAUGCAUGGGCGGGAUUCUAUCUGUCCCAGAAAGAACAAAAUGCAUGCUUCCGUUGCCCUACAGUUGAUAGAAUAUAAUGGAUGUGCCGUGUAUCUUCUCUCGGUCAUCUCAUCCAGCGGGUUUAUUAGAUUUGAUGGUGCUCCAGAAUUCCUUAAGAUACGUAUAUGGUGCAACAGCAUGUUUGGUUCAAGGGGUAGGUUUGUGACAUGGAUGUGCAAUUAGAUUUUGACUCUAAUGGCCGCUUUUUUUACCAUGAUCCUUUGUGAAUCCUGCAACCAAGAGGAGUCCGACAAUUUCACCUAGCUUUCUAAUAGCUGGAUGGGUGUGUAUUUUUUCCCCCUUUUUGGCUUGAGUGAAGUUUAUGAAUGCACCAUCUGACUCUACCUCCGAACCUCCCUUUCACAGGAACAGAAUGGGUAGUGAGUGUUUCAUGAAAGAUUAUUUGAGAGGAACCACUCAUCUCUUCUGUGCUCUAAGCACAAAUUUCCUAUUGGACGCUAAGCUGCUAUGCUGUAAUUAUGACUUUUGUUUCCAAAGGCAAAUUAACAGGAAGGAUCUCUUCGAUUCUGAUUCGGGAGUCAUUUCGAUCCAAAAGGUACUGACGUGCCCGUUACGUUGCCUCUCCUGGAGCGGCGAGAUGUUCUCCGGCUACACGUACCAACUGAAGCUCGCAGGUUUUCAGUUUGCUCCGUACUGCCAUUUGAUCGGCUAAAUUUGCUUUGAAUUUGAUGAGGAGACACAUGCUCACAUCGCGGAGGGUACUUCUGCAGGACAUAUAGUUCACAUGACCCAGCCGGAGAUGAUGUCGCGUCGCGUGCAUCUCAAUUAUAGCAAACAAGUACAGGUAGGGGUUGCCGCUAGGACUCCUGGCAACAGUGCCUGCUGCUUCUCUCUGCCGGAUGUAUGCUCUGGAAGGUGGUGAUCAAUAUGCGCAAGGGUGCUGCUGAUAGCACUUACGACAUUACGCGUGCCUCGGUAUUCGGGCUCCAUCAGACGGAUGAUGCUUGCUUGUGAGGCGAUUGAUUGUGUCUUGUGCACACGCCGAGUUGAAGGUUUUUCAGCAUCAGCUAUGGCACCCACCCGGGCCUGCAUGAGCAUGACGACCUGAGGCACACUCCCCAAUCAUUAGGCUGGCCAAGGACACAAGCAAUGAACCCCCAACAAGCUGAGGACAUGCAAGAUCUGAGCAUGCACCACAUCAUUCGGCAUGCUGCAUGCCACUGCAUAUGCAUGCCCAUGAGAUCGAAUAAAUAGAGCUACAUUGCUUGGCCUA